rnacentral:misc_RNA from 1 species
UCCGGUUUGUCACCGGCAGUCUCCUUAGAGUUCCCACCAUUACGUGCUGGCAACUAAGGACAAGGGUUGCGCUCGUUGCGGGACUUAACCCAACAUCUCACGACACGAGCUGACGACAACCAUGCACCACCUGUGCAGAGCCCCGAAGGACACCGUAUCUCUACGGCUUUUCCCUGCAUGUCAAGCCCAGGUAAGGUUCUUCGCGUUGCCUCGAAUUAAGCAACAUGCUCCGCCGCUUGUGCGGGCCCCCGUCAAUUCCUUUGAGUUUUAGCCUUGCGGCCGUACUCCCCAGGCGGGGCACUUAAUGCGUUAGCUUCGGCACGGAACCCGUUGAUAAGGCCCCACACCUAGCACUCAACGUUUACGGCUGGGACUAC